UUGAAUUGUAUUGUGGAAAUGUAUUACCAACAGAGGUGCAGGUGCCAGCCUAUUGAAAUAAAGCGUCAAUGAGGGUGAGAAUCCUGUUUGUCAUGUGCAGCCCUUUGUGCACGGUGUAUAUUUGCUGAGUCACACUCCUUGGCAUUGGAAUGCAAAGUGGGUGGUAAGUUUCAUGUAAAGGUAAACAUGCAAUUGAGACUGAUAGCACACAAGUACCAUGAGGGAAAUAUGAAAAGGACUUUGAAAAGAGAAUUAAAUGAGUUUGUAUUUGCUGAACACAAAGUAAACAGACUUGAUUUGCUUGGUGGGAGUGUUGCACUUGCUUGACAAGAGCUUUGGGCUGUGGGUGUAAUGAUUCUUUCUUUGCAUGCCAGUUUCUAUUUGUACAUCUGAUUACCUUUGCACAUGAAUGAUAAGUCUCCUGUGGGGGGUGGAUUGCAUGUGCAUGUAAUGAUUUGUGUUUUGAUAAAUGUGUCUGGUGUAUGUGUGUGUGUUCCUGUGCUUGGGGAUGCUUCCUUCCUUGGACUUACAAGCCCUGACACACACAUGCUGGCAAAAUGCUUCUGCUUGACCCGUCUUGAAACACGGACCAAGGAGUCUAACAGAUGUGCAAAGUUUGAAGGUGGUAUACCUUUGUGUGCAAUGAAAGUGUCAGCUGGGAUAUGUGCACCAUCACCCAAUUACUUAGCGGACAGAGGCUUGAGUUGCAGCAUAUCUAUUAGGACCCGAAAGAUGGUGAACUAUGUCUGAACAGAAUGAAUUCAUA
rnacentral:rRNA from 1 species